rnacentral:rRNA from 16 species
GGAUGCGAUCAUACUAGCACUAAAGCACCGGAUCCCAUCAGAACUCCGAAGUUAAGCGUGCUUGGGCGAGUAGUACUAGGAUGGGUGACCUCCUGGGAAGUCCUCGUGUUGCAUUCC